GGGUAACCAAGCGGUUCUUUUGAGGAGGGUAGAGAAAAGUUGGCACAGAUUCUAAGCUGAAAAAAACUCCAUUGGCAGGUAUUAAGACGAGAUUCUCUGCAAGUGGGGUGUAGCGGGCAGGAGUGGAGUGAGAAUACGUGCACGGACAGGGAAGAGUGGGAAUACAUGCAUGGCCAGAAAGUUAGGGAGCCAGCAACAGAGAGAUCGGGCGGCAGCUUCCCUGAUAUUGAUGCCUUCAGUUGAGAUUAAUUGGAUGUGGUUUCUAAUUAGCAAGAUAAAAAGUUGUGAAGAGGCACAAGUAAAUGAUGGCACUGUAUCGUCAACCGCUCUCCACCUCCUUUUGGACUGGAAAUCUGUCUCUUGGAUCCUGGUGUUCUUCUCAUGGGGAUGUAGUGAUUUCAAUGACUUCCUCUGGACCAUGGCUUGGCUGCACAGGUACCUUCUUUUCCUAUCCCAGGGUAAGGUGGGGUUAGGUUAGAGGAGCAGGAUUAGGUCUCAGGAUAGAGUGCUAACAGGAGGGGAAGUAAUACUUGCCACCUAGAGUCUCAAAGCUUGCACCUGUUGUGUGGCCCUGAUUUAGUGAUGUGCUGGAAC
rnacentral:lncRNA from 1 species